rnacentral:rRNA from 1 species
GAGUUUGAUCGUGGCUCAGGAUGAACGCUGGCGGCGUGCUUAACACAUGCAAGUCGAACGAAGCGCCUUAUUUGAUUUUCUUCGGAACUGAAGAUUUGGUGACUGAGUGGCGGACGGGUGAGUAACGCGUGGGUAACCUGCCCUGUACAGGGGGAUAACAAUCAGAAAUGACUGCUAAUACCGCAUAAGACCACAGCACCGCAUGGUGCAGGGGUAAAAACUCCGGUGGUACAGGAUGGACCCGCGUCUGAUUAGCUGGUUGGUGAGGUAACGGCUCACCAAGGCGACGAUCAGUAGCCGGCUUGAGAGAGUGAACGGCCACAUUGGGACUGAGACACGGCCCAAACUCCUACGGGAGGCAGCAGUGGGGAAUAUUGCACAAUGGGGGAAACCCUGAUGCAGCAAACGCCGCGUGAGUGAAGAAGUAAUUCGGUAUGUAAAAGCUCUAUCAGCAGGGAAGAAAGUGACGGUACCUGACUAAAGAAGCCCGGCUAACUACGUGCCAGCA